rnacentral:rRNA from 1 species
GGAAUCAAUGAAAAUAUCUGAUCUAUCAACUAGUUGGUAGUAUAGAGGACUACCAAGGUUAUAACGGAUAACGAGAAAUUAGGGUUUGACAUCGGAGAAGGAGCUUUCAAAAUGGCUACUACUUCUAAGGAAGGCAGCAGGCGCGUAAAUUACCCACUUUUAACAGAAAGAGGUAGUGACGACAAAUAACUCUAUUCUUUAACAAAAAGAAUUGAAGGAAUGAACGGAACGUACAUAGUUUUGUGAAAGCAAUUGGAGGGCAAGUCUGGUGCCAGCAGCCGCGGUAAUUCCAGCUCCAAUAGUAUAUAUUAAAGUUGUUGUGAUUAAAAGGCUCGUAGUUGAAUGAAGAUACUAUUGAAAAGGCUUUUCUUUUUAUACAAAAAGAGAAGUUUAGUUAAACAAUAGAAGAAGGAAAUGGAUUACUUUGAAUAAAAUAGAGUGUUUAAAGCAAAACAAUGUUAAUGAAUAAUGAAGCAUGGGACAAUAAGAAGGAGAUUUGAAAGGAUUUCGAGAAGAAGAUUAAAAGGAAUAAUUGGGGUAAUUUAGAAAAAGAUGGGAGAGGUGAAAAUCCAUGAUCAUCUUUAGAUAAACGAGAGCGAAAGCAUUUUACUCAAUUAUAUUCAUU